rnacentral:pre_miRNA from 1 species
AAAGUUCUGUAACACUUGGACUCUGAGUAAAUGGAAGUCAGUGCACUACAGAACUUUGU